rnacentral:tRNA from 1 species
GUGCCCAUAGCUCAGCUGGUUAGAGCGCCGGAUUGUGAUUCCGGAGGCCGCGGGUUCGAGUCCCGUUGGGCACC